AACGAACGCUGGCGGCAUGCCUAACACAUGCAAGUCGAACGAGACCUUCGGGUCUAGUGGCGCACGGGUGCGUAACGCGUGGGAACCUGCCCUUAGGUUCGGAAUAACUCCCCGAAAGGGGUGCUAAUACCGGAUAAUGUCUUCGGACCAAAGAUUUAUCGUCUUUGGAUGGGCCCGCGUUGGAUUAGCUAGUUGGUAGGGUAAAAGCCUACCAAGGCGACGAUCCAUAGCUGGUCUGAGAGGAUGAUCAGCCACACUGGGACUGAGACACGGACCAGACUCCUACGGGAGGCAGCAGUGGGGAAUAUUGGACAAUGGGCGAAAGCCUGAUCCAGCAAUGCCGCGUGAGUGAUGCAGGCCUUAGGGUUGUAAAGCUCUUUUACCCGGGAUGAUAAUGACAGUACCGGGAGAAUAAGCUCCGGCUAACUCCGUG
rnacentral:rRNA from 1 species